rnacentral:lncRNA from 1 species
UGAAAGUAAAAUAAAAAUAAGUUCUUAAUAGCAGAGUGAAAGCCACUUGAAAUCAGAGUGUUGGAAAAAAAAUUUUGCAAAGACUGUUUGGGCUAUGGCACAAGAAGAAUCUUCAGCAGCAUUCUCUGAUCUUGCUGUUGAUGAUCUUUACUUCUCAGCUCUAUUUGAUACAGAAAAUCAAGAAGAAGAUCUUGCUGUCGAUGAUCUUUAUUUCUCAGCUCUAUUUGAUAAAGAAAAUCAAGAAGAUAUCAUCCCAGUAUCAGAUGAAAUGUAUGCUGAAGAGUUGCAGUUUCAGGAAGCAGGUAUGGCUUCCACAAUCAGUUCCCAGAUGGCAAAAAGUGCUUCUCCAUCAUCAUCACCACCAUCGCUGACAACCCAAGCAUGUUUGGGGCCACAGUCAGAGCCAAUAGAGGUCACAGUGAAAGCCGGUGAGUCCUCUUUGAGCUUCUGUGAGAUUUGUUGUGAGAGGAAAGAAAAAGAUCAAAUGUUCAAAAUUGAGAGUUGCAUUCACUCAUUUUGUUCUGAUUGCAUAAGCAAGCAAGUGGCCACAAAGAUUCAAGUCGGCGUCAUUACUAGGGUUACAUGUCCUGGUCUGGACUGCAAGUCAGUCCUGGAAUAUGAUUCUUGUAAGCCUGUGCUUCCAAAAGAAGUGCUUGAGCUUUGGGAGGAAGCACUUUGUCAGGAGCUGAUUGAUGCUUCAGAGAGGUUUUACUGCCCAUUCAAGGAUUGUUCAGCCAUGUUGGUCUACGAAAAUGAUGGAGAAACUGUUAUAAGUGAAUCUGAGUGCCCUUUUUGCCAUAGAUUGUUUUGUGCUCAGUGUUAUGUGCCAUGGCAUCCUGGUGUUAAUUGUGAGGAGUAUCAAAGACUGAAUGUUGAUGAAAGAAGCAGAGAAGAUUUAAUGGUGAGAGAGCUUGCUAAGGAGAAGAAAUGGAGUAGGUGCCCUCAUUGCAAAUACUAUGUUGAAAGAACUGAAGGUUGCCCUCAUAUGACUUGCAGGUAAGUAUUUGAUCUUUCAUUGUUUUUAUUAUAAUUUAGACUUAUGAAAUAGGCACAUGUGUAAAAAGAGUAUCCCCAAAGUUAGGGAUCAACAAUAUAUAGCUUUGUUAUGUGUAGUUCGGAUAUCUAAGCCUAAAAUGAGUCAAAAUGAUGUUUUUAGAAACUGUUUUCAACAACAAAGUUGAAAUCAACAAUAUAUGGCUCGGAUGUUGGGCGCAGUAACUGGUAUAAGAGUCGUCUUGUGAUCGGAUAUGUGGAUGAAAAUGUGCUAUAAUUCUAUUGACCUUCACUAGGACGCUAGGUCCUUAGGGGAAGAAUGUAAUAUUCCACAUCACUAGCUACUAUGAGUGAGUUCUUGAGUUAAUCUAUAAGCCAUGCGUUAUUGUAACUUAGUAGACGCAUUUGAGGCUGUGUGUCCAAAACAGAAAAUAUUUAUUUGUUUUGUCAGGUAUGGACUGUUACAAAUGCUGUUUUGAAAAAUCAUAGAAUGCAUUUGGUAGGAGGUGAUACAUUAGGUUUGUUUCUGAAAACAGAAAACGGGUUUCUUCUAGUUUAGGCGUAUUGAAAUUUUGAUGAUUUUGCGAUUGCAGGUGCCAAUUUCAGUUCUGUUAUGGAUGUGAAGCACAAUGGACUCAAAACCAUGGCGGUUGCUCAAGAAAAUAACAUAUUAAUAGGACUGCGAAUUUGGAAUAUUAAGAAUAUGAAUUAUCUACUGAUAUUUAACCUUAAACAGCAUCCUUUUAAAGACUGUUUUGUGAGAUUAUUAUAAGACCAGAAGCAGAUUGUGAAGAAGUGUGAAAUCAUUUGUGUUAUAUUUUAUUUUCUAAGCCCCUUAAGUUUAUAUUUUUUGUGUAAUAAUCUCUAAUAUGGAUAACCAAAAUCCAUUUCGCCACUGUCCACACAAUAAUAAAAAGAGAUUAUUUCAUUCAUUUGAGUGUUUGAAUAUUCUAGUCUUUAAUUUUGCAUUAUUAAAAUUUGUUAAGUCUUUUUGAAACGCGCUGGCCAACGAUGAGGAAAUCGUUUCAAAAGAAAGCAAGUUCUAAUGAUAUGAUGAGAGAAACAGCAUUGAUAUCCAAUGCAGAAGAAGGAAGUGUGAUGAGGAGCCAGCAGAUGAAUAAUAAUGUGGGAGAAAAUGAAGGGAAUUGUAGUUGGGUUCCUCAUGAAAGAACUGGGAUUUAUUACCCAAAAGGCCAUGAAAAAGUUUUUGACGAUGUUCCUCCUAUUGAUUUUGAAGUUAAUUGGUUUUUUCAGAAGCUUAUGGGUAAUAUAAGAGCUUUGUAUUGUCUCAAAGCAAAAUCUUAUUGUAAAAAAAGAAAAAAAAAUUGAAGUAUCAGUAAUGAAAAAUGAGAUCAUUUAGUUUCAGAGCAAUACUCAACAUCUUAAUAUUUAUGUCUCAAUUUAAAUUUUAACUAAUGUGUCAUUUAUGAUUUAUCUAUUCGAUGGUGGUUAAGUAUUUUUUUUAAGUUAAGAAAUUUAUUAUCUAAUAAAUGAGUGACGGGCUCAGAUAUUAGUAACUAACAUUAUUAUUAAUUCUAUUCAAAAAAGAAAAAAAAACAUUAUUGUUAGUUAUAUUAUCAUCUUAUUCUUUAGGCCACUUGUUUAUUAUCAUCUCGUUCUUUAGCCUAUCUGUGAAAUUGGAUGAGGUGGGCCUACCAUGGGCUUACCUUUUUGUUGUGGCUCAACUUUCAGAUAUUAGGCUGCAUUCUUUGUUCCAUCUCAGCAGAGCUUUUAAUACUCCUAAAAAAUCCUCAUAACACUUCUUUUAAAGUCUAUUUCUUAAAAUGUCAUAACUUAAUUUAUAAAAUAUUAAUCCAUAAAUUAAGAUUAAUAAUCCUGUCAUUAAAUUAUCCCAUAAAAAGAUUGUAAAUUCUUAAAAUUUUCUAAAAGCAUUUUUAAUUAAACUUUAAAAUUUAUAUAUAAAUUUUGAAAUGAGGUUGGUGUAAAAAAAGUUAAAAAAUAAUUUAUUCAAGUAUUUAAUUAAAUUUUCAUUAAAAAUAAAAAUAAUUAAUUUAUUUUUUAUUAUUUAGGUAAUUUUAAUUAAAGAGUUAUAAGAAAUUUAGAAGGGUGUCAAAAGACCAACUCCUUCAUUUGUCUUGGUUACUUUCGGCCGGCCGCUGGGCAUUGGUAAUUAAGAUAUAAUUCAUGGCAUUUGACUUGUUUUAAAUAAUUAUAACAUUAGUGGUUGUGAAGUUCUAGAAAUAUCUAAGUUGAUAUGUAUGUACCUAUAAAUGGAUAAUGGUUUUUAUGAUAUUAGUGCUCUUUCGAUUUUUGUGUUGAUUUUCAUAUUUAUAAAAGGAAAACAUUAUUACAAGAUAAAUACAAAAAAGAAAAAAAGAUUAGUAAUACUAAUACAAUUAAAUGUUUAUGUACUGAUACUUUAUAUAGAAUAAUCUCCAUAUAAUUAUAGAAAGUUUUGGCCAAUUAAAAUAAGAAUAAAAUAUGUGCUAUAAUAAGUUAUAAUUUUUCUAAAUCUCUUCUUAAGGAGCUUACCUCCACAUAAUAAUAAUAAUUAUUAUUUAUAUAUUAUAAAACAUACAUGUUAUGUUACAUUAAGUGAAUUUAUAUCGACAUAGUAUAAUGAGAAAAUGAGAAAAAAAAAUUUUUUAAAAUGUGAAAGUUUAGAGACUUUUAUAAUAAUUUUAUAGAAGCAUUUAUUAAUUUUUUUUGAAACUUUGUUUAUCUCUGUUAUCACUGUAUAUAUAAUAGAUUUGUCAUGCUCCAUUAAUAAUUUGUUGCUAUGCUUCUAUUAAAUUAUAACCUUGUAAUAAUAACGGGUCUUUGCUAUGUUAUAUUAGCUCUAACAUACAAUAAUCCAAAAAUAAUUUCUUUGUACCUCUAAGUUGUUGCUAUUCAAAUAAUUUAAGGGUCGUGGAAAAUUAAUUUUAGGUCAUUUAUACUCAGCAGCUGUGCAUAAUAAUAAAUUAAUUUGGGUCUAACAUUAUAAUUACAUAGAAGUUUUACUGACCUUAAAUAGUGGAAAUAUUUUAGGCAUAGAAUAAAUAAUGCCUUAUGAUUUGCUAUAAUAAUAGUAUUUACCUUAAAUACUUAUUGUGUAAAUUAUAGAAAUUGGGCCUCUUAGUAGUAAUUCUUCAGCCCAUGUCACUACUGCAACAUAUAGAGAAAGUGACUUAUGUACUAUCUUAGUAUCUUUUAUGUCCAAAGCCAAGUCAAAAGUUGAAAUCCUCUAAUGAAAGGAGUCCCAAUGAGAGCAAACAACUUCCAAGGUAAGUUACUCCUCCAAUUAUGCAACUCCCCAUUAUAUAUUAUUGGAUGCCAAGAGUCCUGAAAGUAAAAGAAAAAUAAGUUCUUGAUAGCAGAGUGAAAGCCACUUGAAAUCAGAGUGUUGGAAAAAAAUAUUUGCAAAGACUGUUUUGGCUAUGGCACAAGAAGAAUCUUCAGCAGCAUUCUCUGAUCUUGCUGUUGAUGAUCUUUACUUCUCAGCUCUAAUUGAUAAAGAAAAUCAAGAAGAUAUCAUCCCGGUAUCAGAUGAAAUGUAUGC